UGGUGUAAUAGUCAGCAUGGCCGCCUUCCAAGCGGCCGAUUCGGGUUCGAUUCCCGA
rfam:Strongyloides papillosus strain LIN genome assembly, scaffold: SPAL_contig0001837